GAUGAACGCUGGCGGCGUGCUUAACACAUGCAAGUCGAACGAACAGACGCGGAGUUUGCUCCUCUCACGUUUGCCGCGGACGGGUGUGUAACACGUGGAUAACCUCCUUAUAAGACUGGGAUAAUCACGGGAAUCCGGAGCUAAUACCGGAUAAUAUAUUGCACCGCAUGGUUCAAUAGUGAAAGUCGGCUUUGCUGUCUCUAAUAGCUGGUUCUGCGCGGCUUUAGAUAGUUGGUACGGUCAAGGCUUACCAAGGCGAGGAUGCGUAACCGACCUGCGAGGGUGAUCGGCCACACGGGAACUGAGACGGGGACCAGACUCCUACGGGAGGCAGCAGUAGGGAAUCUGCCGCAAUGGGCGAGAGCUUGACGGAGCAACGGCGCGUGAGUGAUGAAGGUCUUCGGAUCGUAAAACUCUGUUAUUGGGGGAGAACAAAUUUGGAAGUAACUAUGCACGUCUUGACGGUACCUAAUCAGAAAGCAACGGCUAACUACGUG
rnacentral:rRNA from 1 species